rnacentral:rRNA from 1 species
ACAUCAAAGUAUAGGAGGUCCAGCCUGCCCAGUGACUACAAGUUUAACGGCCGCGGUAUUUUGACCGUGCAAAGGUAGCGCAAUCACUUGUCUUUUAAAUGAAGACCUGUAUGAAUGGCUAAACGAGGGCUUAACUGUCUCCCUUUUCAAGUCAGUGAAAUUGAUCUAUCCGUGCAGAAGCGGGUAUAAAAAUACAAGACGAGAAGACCCUUUGGAGCUUAAGGUACAAACCCAGCCAUGUCAAGCAACUAAUUCAAAAGCAUAAACCUAAUGGAUAGUGGAAUUUUACCUUCGGUUGGGGCGACCACGGAGAAAAAAACAUCCUCCGAGUGGAUUGGGACCAAAACCUAAAACCAAGAAAGACACUUCUAAGUCACAGAAAAUCUGACCAAUUAUGAUCCGGCCAAAAGGCCGAUCAACGAACCAAGUUACCCUAGGGAUAACAGCGCAAUCCCCUCCCAGAGUCCAUAUCGACAAGGGGGUUUACGACCUCGAUGUUGGAUCAGGACAUCCUAAUGGUGCAGCCGCUAUAAGGGUUCGUUGUUCAACGAUUAAAGU